ACUGGUCACUUCCUGCUGAGAAAUAUGUCAGGAGAUCUCCUCCUUGGGGGGGGGGGUGUACGGAAACAUCCCAAAUGCUGUUUGCAGCAGCACCGUCCUGUCAGCAGUUCCAAGAGGGUGUCCAUUUGCACUAUUCAGGUGACCCUGGGGGCACAGAUAAACCUCCAAGUGGCCUCAACGACUGCCAGAAAGAAAGCCCAGUUGGAUGAGAGAUGAAAUGUCCCCAAGGAAAAACAAGAAAGUACUGCU